rnacentral:pre_miRNA from 16 species
UUCACUCUAUUCAAGGUUGGAUUGUCAGCAAAGGUGUGCGACUCUAUAAUCCAAAGCUUGUGGGAGGAAUUCACCUCGCCUGUGACCGAUUGUAGAGUCAUACACCUCUACUGACCUUCCAGUCUCUUUGCUCACA